CGGCGUGCUUAACACAUGCAAGUCGAACGAACCUUCGGGUUAGUGGCGGACGGGUGAGUAACGCGUGAGAAUCUGCCCUCAGGAGGGGGAUAACGGUUGGAAACGACCGCUAAUACCCCAUAUGCCUACUGGUGAAAUGAAUUUCGCCUGAGGAUGAGCUCGCGUCUGAUUAGCUAGUUGGUGAGGUAAUGGCUCACCAAGGCUUCGAUCAGUAGCUGGUCUGAGAGGAUGAUCAGCCACACUGGGACUGAGACACGGCCCAGACUCCUACGGGAGGCAGCAGUGGGGAAUUUUCCGCAAUGGGCGAAAGCCUGACGGAGCAACGCCGCGUGAGGGACGAAGGCCUCUGGGCUGUAAACCUCUUUUCUCAAGGAAGAAGAUAUGACGGUACUUGAGGAAUAAGCCACGGCUAAUUCCGUGCC
rnacentral:rRNA from 1 species